rnacentral:rRNA from 1 species
CCCUAUGGGGUGCAGCAGGCGCGAAAACUUCACACUGUGCGAAAGCACGAUGAGGGAAUCCCAAGUGCUUGCACGUAAGUGUAAGCUGUUUCUUUGUUUAAAACGCAUUGAGAGUAAGAGCUGGGUAAGACGAGUGCCAGCCGCCGCGGUAAUACCUGCAGCUCAAGUGGCGGCCGCUAUUAUUGGGCCUAAAACGUCCGUAGCCGGUUUAAUAAAUGCCUGGGUAAAUCGUGUAGCUUAACUAUACGAAUUCCGGGUAGACUGUUAAGCUUGGGACCGGGAGAAGUUAGAGGUACUCCUGGGGUAGAGGUGAAAUUCUGUAAUCCUAGGGGGACCACCAGUGGCGAAGGCGUCUGACUAGAACGGGUCUGACGGUGAGGGACGAAGCCCUGGGGCGCAAACCGGAUUAGAUACCCGGGUAGUCCAGGGUGUAAACGCUGCUUGCUUGAUGUUGGUUGGGCUCCGAGCCCAAUCAGUGUCGGAGAGAAGUUGUUAAGCAAGCUGCCUGGGAAGUACGGCCGCAAGACUGAAACUUAAAGGAAUUGGCGGGGGAGCACAGCAACGGGUGGAGCGUGCGGUUUAAUUGGAUUCAACGCCGGAAAACUCACCGGAGGCGACGGUUACAUGAAAGCCAGGCUGAUGACCUUGCUAGAUUUUCCGAGAAGUGGUGCAUGGGCCAA